rnacentral:rRNA from 1 species
AGAGGGUGCAAGCGUUAAUCGGACUUACUGGGCGUAAAGGGUGCGUAGGUGGAAGUACAAGUCAGAUGUGAAAGCCCUGGGCUUAACCUGGGAACUGCAUUUGAAACUGUAGAUCUAGAGUAGAGUAGAGGGGAGUGGAAUUUCCGGUGUAGCGGUGAAAUGCGUAGAUAUCGGAGGAACACCAGUGGCGAAGGCGACUCUCUGGGCUUAUACUGACACUGAGGCACGAAAGCGUGGGUAGCAAACAGGAUUAGAUACCCUGGUAGUCCACGCUGUAAACGAUGAGAACUAGCUGUUGGGGAGCGAAGACUCUUCAGUAGCGUAGCUAACGCGCUAAGUUCUCCGCCUGGGGAUUACGGCCGCAAGGCUA